AAGUCGGAGAUUAAGAGCCGAGGAGCAGAGAAGGGUGUUCCCACAGCUCAUCUUGGAAGAGGGGUCCCAGAGAGGACUUAGCCUGGGUCUUGGCCUUGAAGAGCUUCCAGCCUGGUGUGGCCGACUUCUACUGAGACCUCCUCAUUCAUUUUUUGGCCACCUGUGGAGUAGAUUGUGGGAGCCCAGAGAAGGGUGUUGUGGAUUCUUCCUGGAGAUCAGACCGGAAAGCAUUCCUAGGAGAAGCAGAGGCAGAGUCUCACUAUGCUGUCCAGGCUGGUUUCAAAUUCCUGGAGUCAAGCAACCCUCUUACCUUGGCCUCCCAAAGCGCUGAGAUGUCAACAGAGGGAAAGAGUUGAAGGCAGGGCUGCUCUGAAUAAUCUUGUACCAGAAUCCUGGGUCCAUUUGUGGGAGUUUCUCAGGGGGACAUAAAUCCAGGAGAUGAGUUGCUGGUUGUAGGACAUGUUCAUUUGCACCUUUACUGAAUGUGAUGGAGGCAGCCUGUUGUGGUUUAAAGAUUCAGGCUCCCUUCCCACAGGGUAAAGUGGAUACCAGGAAGUGG
ensembl:lncRNA novel transcript, antisense to CLPP